rnacentral:rRNA from 1 species
CGGCAGCGCGGGAGCAAUCCUGGCGGCGAGUGGCGAACGGGUGAGUAAUACAUCGGAACGUGCCCAAUCGUGGGGGAUAACGCAGCGAAAGCUGUGCUAAUACCGCAUACGAUCUACGGAUGAAAGCAGGGGAUCGCAAGACCUUGCGCGAAUGGAGCGGCCGAUGGCAGAUUAGGUAGUUGGUGAGGUAAAGGCUCACCAAGCCUUCGAUCUGUAGCUGGUCUGAGAGGACGACCAGCCACACUGGGACUGAGACACGGCCCAGACUCCUACGGGAGGCAGCAGUGGGGAAUUUUGGACAAUGGGCGAAAGCCUGAUCCAGCCAUGCCGCGUGCAGGAUGAAGGCCUUCGGGUUGUAAACUGCUUUUGUACGGAACGAAACGGCCUUUUCUAAUAAAGAGGGCUAAUGACGGUACCGUAAGAAUAAGCACCGGCUAACUACGUGCCAGCAGCCGCGGUAAUACGUAGGGUGCAAGCGUUAAUCGGAAUUACUGGGCGUAAAGCGUGCGCAGGCGGUUAUGUAAGACAGUUGUGAAAUCCCCGGGCUCAACCUGGGAACUGCAUCUGUGACUGCAUAGCUAGAGUACGGUAGAGGGGGAUGGAAUUCCGCGUGUAGCAGUGAAAUGCGUAGAUAUGCGGAGGAACACCGAUGGCGAAGGCAAUCCCCUGGACCUGUACUGACGCUCAUGCACGAAAGCGUGGGGAGCAAACAGGAUUAGAUACCCU